ACAAACAAGGCAGCAAUAACAUAGAUAUGGUGCAUUACAUCACGAAGACACGUGUUCAUUAGUACUAAAACAAAUAGUUAUACAAAUAGUUCAAACAUAGUUGAGUUGGAGGACAAGGUUUUGUGGUUCUAUUUGUUCAUUUGAUCAUGUUUCCUAUUGAGCCAAUCAAGUCUCCCCUUUUUUGUUUCGAUCAGCAUGAACAACUCUCUAUAGUUGGGUUGGAGCACAAGGUCAGUGGCUGUGAAAUACAAAGGAGUUCCCUCCUCGGCCCCACAAUACUUCGUCAAAGUCAAAACUUCCUUCAUGGUAGGAACAACACUUGCUGGAGCAUGAGUUGCUGCUAUCUCUGAGUUUAUAUUCCCAAGUGUGGCCUUCUACUCACGUAGAAAAGGGUUCUUGUCCUCCUUAGCUGACUCGUCAAUAAACUUGGCCUUGCGCUUCAGAUAUUUUGCCGCCUUUCCAUCCUUAGGUGAGACCUUGACCUCCUUUGCCGCCUUUCCAUCCUUAGGUGAAACCUUGACCUCCUUCAAUGCAUUUCCAUCCUCCUCAGACUCUUCUCCAACAUCAGGCAUAUCAUCAUCAUUUGUGUUGUCUGACAUCUCCCCAGGAAUAGAUGAUGUAGCCCCGGUGACAUGUGCGUUGGCGAACAUGACAUGAAUUUCUUCCAAGUUGGCCAGCCCCUUCUUCUUGUACUUUGCAUGCUUAGGAUUUUUCUGAAAUAUAGCAUAAGAGUUAGCAAUUCCAC
rnacentral:lncRNA from 1 species